rnacentral:rRNA from 1 species
ACGGGAGGCAGCAGUGGGGAAUAUUGCACAAUGGAGGAAACUCUGAUGCAGCGACGCCGCGUGAGUGAAGAAGUAUUUCGGUAUGUAAAGCUCUAUCAGCAGGAAAGAAAAUGACGGUACCUGACUAAGAAGCCCCGGCUAACUACUUGCCAGCAGCCGCGGUAAUACGUAGGGGGCAAGCGUUAUCCGGAUUUGCUGGGUGUAAGGGAGCGUAGACGGCGAAGCAAGUCUGAAGUGAAAGCUCGGGGCUCAACCCCGGAACUGCUUUGGAAACUGUUUUGCUGGAGUGCAGGAGAGGUAAGCGGAAUUCCUAGUGUAGCGGUGAAAUGCGUAGAUAUUAGGAGGAACACCAGAGGCGAAGGCGGCUUACUGGACUGUAACUGACGUUGAGGCUCGAAGGCGUGGGGAGCAAACAGGAUUAGAUACCCUGGUA